rnacentral:lncRNA from 1 species
GAAUCUACUUCGGGUAAGAUUUCUUCAUUAUUCUUCUAUCCUAUUCUUCUUCUUUUCUAUUUACUACUGUGUUCAGUUUGAUUUGUUCAGUUCGAAGUGAUUUGCUCUUUUUUUUUUUUUGUUGAAGUACACAUUCAAUUCUUCCUUUUCUUUAUAUUUCUUCUACCUUCUUCCUCUUCUUUUUAUUUCUUGUUGUGUUCUUCCUAUUGUGUUCUUCUACUGUAAUUUUUUUGUUUUGAAAGCUCUAGUGUUUGAAAUUUUGUGCAAAUUUUGAUGAAAACUUGGUUAGGGUUUUUCAUUUUGGUUUUUUUCCCUAUUUAACUGUUUAAUUUUGCAAAAAGUUUACGAAUAUAAGUUCGAUUUUUGUUUCUAGGGUUUUAAAUUUGGGAGUUUCCAAAUUAGGGUUAAAAUUUGGAGGUAUUUCUCCGUCUAUUGAAUUCUGCUGUCAUUAGGUUAAAUUCUCCUUUUAUAUUAAUCAAUUAUAGCUUUUGUGAUUGUAUUAUUCUGGUAGUGCCAUUAUGUUCUACAUUGUGGAUAGUUUGAUUUUGUUAUUCAUGUUGUUCAUAUUGAAUAGAAUUGUUCUUUUAUCCAAUGUAAUCAAAUAUAUUUCCUUGUUCUAAUUAUUGGUUGUUUUGUGUUUAGGUUACAUAAGAUUUCUUGUUUGUGCUAAUGGAAUUGAUUGAUAUGAUCAAUUGGGGGUUGUAUUAAUUUUUGUUUUUCUAUCCUAAACAUGGUGCAUACUUGAAUGUUUGUUUCCUUAUUGCUACUGCACCUAAAUCAUGAACAUUGUGCAUACUACAAUGUUUUAAUUUUGUUGUUUUUGUUGCAUUGUGGUUCUUAUUUGAUUGGUUGGAAAUGUAUUUCUUGGUGCUUGUUGUUUUUUGUCUUCUGUCUUCUAUGAGUCUUGUUGUUUUACUUAAUAUAUUCGAUUAUUCUUUAUCGAAUGUUUGAAUUAUCACGAGGGUAAUGUAUUCCAUGUAUACAUGUGUAGAUAAUGCCUAAAAAGUUUGCGGGUCACCUAGUAAAUGGUUGGUGAUAAUAAUGGAGAUGAUAACUAUACCCCACAAGACCUCAACAGUCCUGUGAAUGGAUCACCACCUGGUUAGUUGGUUCUUUAUUUUAUACAUUCAAAUUUUUUGUAGUACAAAUGGUUUCGUGAAAUGAUGGCAUUGUUAUUGUAGAGAACAUAAAAGAAGAAGAAGAUGAUGAUGUGAACCUAGAAGGGUUAGAUACCCAAAUUCCUUCCAACACACCAAUUGGAUUAACACCACUUGCAUCAACUGAAGUUCUAGGAGAAAGUUCAGCAACUGGAGGGGAUGCUCGCAAAAGGAAAGGCAGUGAUGCACCUAUUUUACCAAAGCGUAAUAAGCUGAAAUUUGGAUUGAUAGAUAUACCUGAACCAACAUCCUUCAAGGGGUUGACCGCAGCUUUGCAGAGUAUAGCCCAAAGUCUGGAAAAACCCAAGAUUGCAGAUCUGUCAACUGCACUUCAAGAGAUGACAAAUGGGGACAGAGAUAUGUAUCUGAGAGCAAUGGACUUUCUAGGAGACAACCCUAGUUUGAUGGCAAUGUUUGUGGGUAUAGAGAAGGAAUACAAGAUGGAAUGGCUUUUGAGAAAGCUUAAUGCCCAUAGGUAGUGAAGGGUGAUCUUGGUGUUUCUAUUUUUUUUAGGCUGCGGAAGUAUUCCUUUUUGUAUGUUGCAGAAGUGUGUUUUAACCUUGUUAUAAUCAUGUACUAGUUUGAUUGUGAACUUAUUUUCAUCACAACCUUUUGAACUUGGUUUGAAUAUAAAUAGUUUGAUUUUGAACUAUUUUAUGAUGUCGCAGCCUUUCAAAUCUCAUUUGAUUUUAUAUAUUCCAUGUUAUGUAAAUUGUGUUUAGAUUAGGGUUUUCUUAAAUGAGACCUGUAGCUAACGAAGACAAGCUCAAUCAGUUCAUGUAAAUGACAGAGCAGUUCCUGGUGAACUUUUAACUUUUUUCCUCACAAGUUACUACGGGUUCUUUAAAUAGCCUAACUUGAAGACAACCUUUGAUUAAGCCACAUUGCCACAACAUACAGUUGUUGUUUUUGUACCCUUAGCCAUUUCUCCCUAACAAGGACACAAAAGUUCCAUCUAUAAAGCCAUUGGUAUGGUCAGCUCCGCAGUUUUGAUUUUGUAUGGCCGUGUCAUUGAAACCUAUGAAUGGAUUAGGACUUGUAUGUAUGUAUGCUGGUACAUUCCAACUUUUAUGAUGGUUUACCGAACUUUUUAACGAAACCUUGUUUGUUUGUUUAUUUGUUUGUUUGUUUUUUUUUUUUUUUUUUUUUUUUUAUGAAAAUCAAACCUUGUUCAAUUUUGUAUUUCACACAAACUUUUUUGCACACUUUUUUUUUAAGGAAUACUAGCAGAUUAUUCUGAAAAUUGUUGAGGUUCACAUUGAAAGAUGAAUAUACUUCGUUGUAAUUUUUUUUCUCAUUAUUUCUUAUUUAUUUUGGCUAAUUAUAAUUUGGUAUGCUUACCGCUUAAGCACCUUUAAUUUGGUCGUGUAUUGGGCCACAAAUCGGGUCGAUGGCAUAUGUCCAUUGGAUUGAUUGUAGGAAAAGAUCCAAAGUCCAUAAAGAAUCAUAAGUGCAAGCCCAUAGCCCAUCAGUUUAAGUCAAUUUGCCCGACUGAAAAGAGUUAUCAAACGCAGGUAAAAUUGGCAAAACCAUUUUUCCUACAUUUUCCAAACACAUUAACAAACAGCGGCAAAUGGUUUUUCCAAAAAAUUUCUCGGAACACGAAUUUGCCAAAUCCACUAGUUUUGCCGCUUUGCCUAUUUUCUUGGGACCGUGUGUAAAGUUAUCAAACAGACCUUUAGUUCCAGCAACAAUCAUUCAUGUUAUACCCAUUAAUACUGUACCUAUGAAUUUCAUAUCUACCCAAUAAAAUAAGUAAGGAUAACUAAUACAGAUGUUACCAAAGCUUCAACAAAUCAAACCAAACCCAUUACAGUACCCGUCCCCACAUAGAAAUAGAGGUAUAUGUUAUCUUCUUCUCACCCACAACAAUUUAAUUUCCAAGUAAAUUAACUACAGUCAAUACUCAGUUCAAAAAUGACAAUGAAUCGGGGACACAUGUAAUUAUUUCUGAUCAUACAGUUAACCUUUAGAAAAAUAUAGCCACAAUGACCAGAGAAAGGAAAUUAAAUCUGGUGGUAUGCUUCUUAACACUUAUGCAGUUAUGCUCGUCCAUAUUUCGAAAAUAUUAACUUAUUAAAAACUAUGUCUACUCACCUGCUACUUCUUUCCUUUCCUAUUAUGAACUCCUGGUUCUCUGAAAGUCUGCAACUUUCCUUCCAGCAGCGCCGCCCACUCUCUUUCGCAAAUUUCUCUGUUUUUUUUUUUUUGUCGAUCACAAAUAAAACUCUCACCUCCUAUCCCUUUUAAAGCGAAUAAUCUGACGGCUAAUAAUGAAUUCAACUUGAUCGUGUUUCCGAAUUCAAAGCAAUAACAACUGAUCGUGUUCAUAGGUGAGAAAAUCGAAUUUGUCGGGCGGAUAUUCACGAAAUAUUCUGGUUUUUGGGAAUUCGGAUCGGUACGGCAUACGAAAUAUAAACCACCCCAUGCCGUUAGAAAUUUUACGAAUAUUCGCGAAAUAUUCGGCAAGAACCAAAAUUUACGAAAUUUUUGAUUAUGAAAUUAACACAUUUAUUUUUAAUUCCCACCAAACUAGAAUUUUCGAUGAGGUUAUCAAAAAAGGAUCCAAAAGGCACUAGACGUUUGGAAACUUUCUAUUGGGAUGGGGUUCAAUUGUGCAUAGUAGUACAUGAUGAAAUGAUUGUUAAGGGGAAUCUACAUGCUACAGCUUCAUUGUUGUCUCUUUAUAUCUAAGUGAAGUCCUCUCUCACUUUUUGUAAAGUUUUCCAUUCAAUAAAACGAAAAUACAUAAUUGGUUUGCUUUUUGUAAAGUUUUCCAUUACAUAUGAUAUACAUAUUGACCAAUUCAGGUCGUACGAGCAAACAAUGUCAUGGGAAUAUUACUAUAUUGAGUUCGUCCCCACACGUAUGCGACUCGAAGCUCAUCGGUUUGACAUGGGACGUCUAUCAUUCUGGGGUUAGCAUGUCUUUUAUUUUGAUUAUUAAAAUAAAAC